rnacentral:tRNA from 1 species
CGCUAAGAAGCUAAGUAGGCCACAGCGUUAGCCUUUUAAGCUAAAGAUUGGUGACUGCCAACCACCCUUAGUGA